rnacentral:tRNA from 1 species
ACGGAGGUAGCUCAGCCAGGUAGAGCGCCUGCUUUGGGAGCAGGAGGCCGCAGGUUCGAACCCUGUCUUCCGUA